rnacentral:rRNA from 1 species
CAGUCGCCGCGGGAAUACGGAAGGAGCUAGCGUUGUUCGGAAUCACUGGGCGUAAAGCGCACGUAGGCGGCUAUUCAAGUCAGGGGUGAAAGCCCGGGGCUAAACCCCGGAACUGCCUUUGAAACUAGAUAGCUUGAAUCUUGGAGAGGCGAGUGGAAUUCCGAGUGUAGAGGUGAAAUUCGUAGAUAUUCGGAAGAACACCAGUGGCGAAGGCGACUCGCUGGACAAGUAUUGACGCUGAGGUGCGAAAGCGUGGGGAGCAAACAGGAUUAGAUACCCCUGUAGUCCCUGUCUCUUAUAC